GUGGGGAAUUUUGGACAAUGGGCGAAAGCCUGAUCCAGCCAUGCCGCGUGCAGGAUGAAGGCCUUCGGGUUGUAAACUGCUUUUGUACGGAACGAAAAGACUCCUUCUAAUAAAGGGGGUCCAUGACGGUACCGUAAGAAUAAGCACCGGCUAACUACGUGCCAGCAGCCGCGGUAAUACGUAGGGUGCAAGCGUUAAUCGGAAUUACUGGGCGUAAAGCGUGCGCAGGCGGUUAUAUAAGACAGAUGUGAAAUCCCCGGGCUCAACCUGGGAACUGCAUUUGUGACUGUAUAGCUAGAGUACGGUAGAGGGGGAUGGAAUUCCGCGUGUAGCAGUGAAAUGCGUAGAUAUGCGGAGGAACACCGAUGGCGAAGGCAAUCCCCUGGACCUGUACUGACGCUCAUGCACGAAAGCGUGGGGAGCAAACAGGAUUAGAAACCCCGGUAGUCC
rnacentral:rRNA from 2 species